UACGGAGGGUGCAAGCGUUAUCCGAAUUCACUGGGUUUAAAGGGUGCGUAGGUGGGCAGGUAAGUCAGUGGUGAAAUCUCUGGGCUUAACCCAGAAACUGCCGUUGAUACUAUCUGUCUUGAAUAUAGUGGAGGUGAGCGGAAUAUGUCAUGUAGCGGUGAAAUGCUUAGAUAUGACAUAGAACACCCAUUGCGAAGGCAGCUCGCUACACUAUUAUUGACACUGAGGCACGAAAGCGUGGGGAUCAAACAGG
rnacentral:rRNA from 1 species